rnacentral:rRNA from 1 species
UGAGGAAUCUGCCCUUCUCAUCGGAAUAAGCGUUGGAAGCGACGUCUAAUGCCGAAUACGACCUCCUUUCGUAUGAUCGGAGGUGGAAAGCUCCGGCGGAGAAGGAUGAGCUCGCGGCCUAUCAGCUAGUUGGUGUGGGUAAUGGCCCACCAAGGCGACGACGGGUAGCCGGCCUGAGAGGGUGACCGGCCACACUGGGACUGAGACACGGCCCAGACCUCCGUACGGGGAGNAGCG